rnacentral:rRNA from 1 species
UACGUAGGGAGCAAGCGUUGUCCGGAAUCAUUGGGCGUAAAGCGCGCGUAGGUGGCCAUGUAAGUCCGCUGUGAAAGUCCAGGGCUCAACCCUGGAAUGCCGGUGGAAACUGUCAAGCUUGAGUCCGGAAGAGGCGAGUGGAAUUCCUGGUGUAGCGGUGAAAUGCGCAGAUAUCAGGAGGAACACCAAUGGCGAAGGCAGCUCGCUGGGACGGUACUGACGCUGAGACGCGAAAGCGUGGGGAGCAAACAGG